CUACUUGUUUAGUAGCCAUAACAACAAGUGCAAAACCCUUUUUCUUAUUCCCUUAGAUAACAACAUCUUCAACUUCACCAAAUUUCGAAAACAAUUCCCUCAACUUCUCCGCCUAAUAAUCUUCACCAAUCUUCUCCCAAGAAACCCUUUUAUAGUUGAACACUUUUGUAAGGUUACUCUUUGAAGAAACAAAUAUUGUGUUCUUUCUUCUCUUUUAUCUUCUUUAUCGAUGUUGUUAUUAUUAUUGCUGAUAGAAAUAUUUGCCGUGCCUUGAUUUGCUUUCAUCAUUCAUAUAUAUACAACAACUGUCUCCUAAUAUUUCUCCUAAUGAUUCUCAUAUAAUGAUGAGUAAUCUUUCAUAAUAAAGUCUAAUAAUAUACAUUUUAAAUAUAGAGAUAUGUAUCAUAUAAUUCUAAUACACCCCCGUAGUCGAAACUGGAGGUAGGCGUAUGUUGAGACUAUCUCGAAAAUCAUAAAAAAGUUGCAACGGAAGUCCCUUUGUGAAGAUGUCGGCAAUUUGAUAACGCGAC
rnacentral:lncRNA from 1 species